GGCCUUUUGAUUAUAAUUUAAGGUCUAAUCUGCCCACUGAAAGAUUUUGAAUGGCCGCGGUAUUUUGACCGUGCAAAGGUAGCAUAAUCAUUAGUUUUUUAAUUGAAAGCUGGUAUGAAUGAUUGAAUGAGGAAAAGACUGUCUCAAUUUAAUUUAUUUAGAAUUUUAUUUUUAAGUCAAAAAGCUUAAAUUUUAUUAAAAGACGAGAAGACCCUAUAGAGUUUUAUAUUUAUUAAAUUAAAUUAAUUUAAGAUUAAAAUUUAAUUUUUUAUAAUAAGUAUUUUGUUGGGGUGACAGAAAAAUUAAAAGAACUUUUUUUAUAUAGAAACAUAUAUAUAUGGUUAAUUGAUCCAAAUUUUUUGAUUAUAAGAUAAAAUUACCUUAGGGAUAACAGCGUAAUUUUUUUUAAGAGUUCUUAUCGAAAGAAAAGAUUGCGACCUCGAUGUUGGAUUAAAGUUAAAUUUUGGUGUAGAAGCUAAAAAUUUAGGUCUGUUCGACCUUUAAAACUUUACA
rnacentral:rRNA from 1 species